AACAAGGCGUACCUGCGGACCUGCGGAGGGAUCAUUACCGAGUUUACAACUCCCAAACCCAUGUGAACAUACCUAUCGUUGCUUCGGCGGGAUCGCCCCGGGCGCCUCGUGUGCCCCGGAUCCGGCGCCCGCCUAGGAACCUUAACUCUUGUUUUAUUUUGGAAUCUUCUGAGUAGUUUUUACAAAUAAAUAAAAACUUUUAACAAUGGAUCU
rnacentral:misc_RNA from 1 species